AUUGAACGCUGGCGGCAUGCCUUACACAUGCAAGUCGAACGGUAACAGGUUAAGCUGACGAGUGGCGAACGGGUGAGUAAUGUAUCGGAACGUGCCCAGUCGUGGGGGAUAACUGCUCGAAAGAGCAGCUAAUACCGCAUACGACCUGAGGGUGAAAGCGGGGGAUCGCAAGACCUCGCGCGAUUGGAGCGGCCGAUAUCAGAUUAGGUAGUUGGUGAGGUAAAGGCUCACCAAGCCGACGAUCUGUAGCUGGUCUGAGAGGACGACCAGCCACACUGGGACUGAGACACGGCCCAGACUCCUACGGGAGGCAGCAGUGGGGAAUUUUGGACAAUGGGCGCAAGCCUGAUUCAGCCAUGCCGCGUGCGGGAAGAAGGCCUUCGGGUUGUAAACCGCUUUUGUCAGGGAAGAAAAGGUUCUGGCUAAUACCUGGGACUCAUGACGGUACCUGAAGAAUAAGCACCGGCUAACUACGUG
rnacentral:rRNA from 1 species